CCUUCACAGGUCCUCUGCUUGCCAUACUAGAGAGACACACUCUGUUCCGUCCUCAACUUGCGGACCUGCCCUGAGGAUGUUAUACACCACUGUUGCGCCUUCAGUCAUGUUGAUUUCCGACUGGUUGUCUUUGGACUACAUGCCAUGGGCUGACUGACCUGAACAGAAAUACAAUAUUCAUCACUUUCCUCAUAUUGGACUACUCUGAUUAGUUAUGAGGUCACAGGAAAUAGACUCAUUACUCAUAAAUCAUUGCAGCUCACUUGACUGCAUCUGACAGUGGAUAGCAGAGCUCUCUGGUGUUUCACCAUUUGAAAUUAAACAACAAAAAUGUAAAUUACCAUUGUUUUACGCUUCGAACACACCGACUGCGUCGUUGCAUCCCUGCUGCAUAACAUUUUGCGCAGCUAGGCAAUUAUACUGAUGCAGGUACCUUUUGCAAAUGGUCGCAUGCAGUUGGACACAUGGAGGAGAGAAUCAUUUUCGCAGUAUCCUCAAAACCGUGUCUUUUUGACACAACUGCUGACAGCUACAGGGACAUAAACACAAAAUGCUGCUUGGAGACAAGUGUCCACGAUAGUAGGAUUGCCAGGUCAGUUUAGUAGUGAGCUUGUGCUAGAUGUGGCUAGUUAGCUAGCUAGCUGGUGUGUGUGAAAGAAAUAGUCAAAUAAAUUAUGCUAGUUACUACCCCUGAUAACUUUACCAAAUAAUCAUGUUUGAAAGAUUGAGAGUGUGUAUGCUAUAUAAAUAGUAAUAGAAAUGGUAGAUACUACUGUACCCCUGAUAAUUUGGUCAGAUAAACGUGUGUGUGUGUCUAUGUGUACAGUAGGUGACAUGUCCAUGAUAGCUAUCUAAUAACUAUAGUUAUGCUAGGUAAUGGUUUGGCUUAUCAUGUUCAUGUCUAUGUAGAAGAAGACUGUAGGAGGGAGUGGAGAGGACUCAAGGACAGGUAUCAGAGAGAGAGAAGGGCAGAGAAAGAGAAGAAGAGGUCUGGGUCAGCAGCUUCAGGCCAGCAGCCUUGGCGCCUCUGCCACAUUCUUUCUUUUCUGGAUCCAUUUAUUGUGCCUAGGGCAACGAGUGGAAAUUUUACAGCCAGACCCUCUACUACGUCAUCCACAAGUGUUGUUGCCACCGGUGAAUCAAGACCCUCAACGUCACCUACAAAUGCGACCAUCACCUCCACCGGUGGAGUGAGACUCUCUACAACAUCAUCCACGAGUAUGACCACUACCGGUGCAGCCAUGGAAGAUGAUGAAAGGGAGGAAGCACCUCUGGAUCUAGGACCACCUGAGAUCAUUAUGAACCUCACGGAAGUGACCACCUCGUUGAACAGGAUGUGGCCGUGGAAAGAAACAGAGAGAGAAACUAAGAGGAACAACGUCACACCAGGCGUCAUCGGAGGUACCAGCCCCCAGAUCCACUCAACUCAUUUCAGCAGAGGCUCCUCCAAGCUGUCGAGAGGGAUGCAGCCCAACCUGAUGCUCACAGGAUGGAGGAUGAAGAGACCCUCUUUGCCAUGUGCCUUGUGCCAACACUGAAGAGGCUGCCUCAACAAAGAAAAGCAGCAAUCAAGGUUAAAAUGUAUCAACUGCUUUUCGAAGCCGAGUUCAAUGAAAUGGAGUCAAUUUAGCUGACCAGCUCACAGGAAGGACAGGAAGAGGAGAGGAGUUGUCUGGUUGUUGUUUUGACCUCCCUCAUUGUACCUUUCUUUUCACACACGUCAGUUCCGUUUAAAUUCAGUCAAUUCAUAAAGUAAUUUGUUUAUUAAGUCUUAGGGUAGCAUUCAUUAUUAGUGUUUACAUAGAUUUCUGAAUUGAAACUCAUACGGAGUUUUCACAGAUGCUCUUGGUCUCUUACGAGGUCAAUAUAUUUCUUUAAUUUAAAACCACUUGAAAACCAGGGUGUUGAAACUUUUUGUGAAGUUAUGUUCCAUCGACUGGUCCGUGACGUCCAGGGGCCAUUUGUUUGUUUAGCUGUGUUAUGGCUACAUAUUAUUCCCUUUUUCUCAGAGACAGACACACACACACCUCUUCGUACCUCAGAUCUCCAGUGCCCUGCCCUCUCUCUUUAUGGCCAUGUCUGAAGUUCCUCUACUACGUCUAGGCUUUAUGAGUAGUCCCUGUAUCGGUAUGCAGUUGUGCCAAAAAUACAUGCUCUUGCUGUUCUCUUACAGAUUACAGGCUACACAUUCAUAAAAAUAAAAAAAUCUGCACGCACGCA